GGGACUAGGGUGGUCCCAUCGCCUGGCUCGACACCCGGCAGAUCAGGGUUCGAUUCCCUGUAGUUCCA
rnacentral:tRNA from 1 species